ACAGUCACACAUUAGAUACCCCUGUAGUCCUGGCCGUAAACGAUGUGGACUUGGUGUUGGGAUGGCCUCGAGCUGCCCCAGUGCCGAAGGGAAGCUGUUAAGUCCACCGCCUGGGAAGUACGGUCGCAGGACUGAAACUUAAAGGAAUUGGCGGGGAGCACCACAACGCGUGGAGCCUGCGGUUUAAUUGGAUUCAACGCCGGACAUCUCACCAGGGGCGACAGCAGGAUGAUGGCCAGAUUGACGAUCUUGCUUGACAAGCUG
rnacentral:rRNA from 1 species